GAUGAACGCUGGCGGCGUGCCUAAUACAUGCAAGUCGAGCGAAUGGAUUAAGAGCUUGCUCUUAUGAAGUUAGCGGCGGACGGGUGAGUAACACGUGGGUAACCUGCCCAUAAGACUGGGAUAACUCCGGGAAACCGGGGCUAAUACCGGAUAACAUUUUGAACCGCAUGGUUCGAAAUUGAAAGGCGGCUGCGGCUGUCACUUAUGUGUGGACCCGCGUCGCAUUAGCUAGUUGGUGAGGUAACGGCUCACCAAGGCAACGAUGCGUAGCCGACCUGAGAGGGUGAUCGGCCACACUGGGACUGAGACACGGCCCAGACUCCUACGGGAGGCAGCAGUAGGGAAUCUUCCGCAAUGGACGAAAGUCUGACGGAGCAACGCCGCGUGAGUGAUGAAGGCUUUCGGGUCGUAAAACUCUGUUGUUAGGGAAGAACAAGUGCUAGUUGAAUAAGCUGGCACCUUGACGGUACCUAACCAGAAAGCCACGGCUAACUACGUGCCAGCCGCCGCGGUAA
rnacentral:rRNA from 1 species